GAGGACACAGCAAACACCUUCCAGCCGGGUGAAUAGGAGGGAGAUCAGCUUCCUCUUUAGGGUCACCUCCACUAGAUCACGAUGUACUGUUCUUUCCCUUUCCAGCAUGAGUGAGGUUAGACUUCAGGAGAGCUCUGAUCGGUGAAGGAAAUGCAGUGGAACCCACUUUGCUCCAGUCUUCCCGGGCUGAACUUUGCCAGGCCCAGAAGAGUUGGCCAGACAACAGACUCAAAGCUCUGUCAAAACAGGGGCCGUGUUUACUGUGUUCAACACUGUAUAUCCAGCAACUGGUGGGCUCUCUUGCACACAGAAGGAACUAGCUCACAAACUUCACUUGAGGAUCCACUCCUUCACACAUUCUUGGUCCAUGUGAUCUGGAUAGAGCUUCUUCCUCAGCACCAAGAGUCAAGCAUGUGAUCCAGGUCUGUCAACCAAAACACUCCAUGCUCCUGGGUUAUUUGAUCAUGGCCAUGUGACCAACCACAAAGAGUCUGAGAAUGAAUUUUAUACAUCCAAAGACCAAGGAGAGAGAUGGAUAAAAACCAAAACCUCCUGAUGUUAAGUCUUUGUCCUGGACUUUCCAUUGUCAGAGUAAAUAAAUUUCCUUUUCACUUAAGCAGAUUAUUAAAAAAAAA